GUCUCCUCAGAGACAUCCGAUAAAACUGGAACGAUACAGAGAAGAUUAGCAUGGCCUCUGCAUAAGGAUGACGCGCACAAAUCGAGAAAUGGUCCAAAAGAGA